rnacentral:rRNA from 1 species
GACGUAGGAAGCAAGCGUUGUCCGGAAUUACUGGGCGUAAAGAGCUCGUAGGCGGGACCGUAAGUCCGAGAGGAAAUCUCAAGGCUCAACUUUGGGGCUUUCUUGGAUACUGCGGUUCUUGAGGAUGAGAGAGGUAAGUAGAAUUCCUGGUGUAGCGGUGUAAUGCGCAGAUAUCAGGAAGAACACCCGUGGCUAAGGCGGCUCUCUAGUACGGUACUGACGCUGAGACGCGAAAGCGUGGGGAGCGAACAGG